GGAAUUUUCACUGUAGGGAUCUUUCAUCUCCCUGGUGAGCUGUAUUCCUAGGUAUUUUAUUCUUUUUGUGGCAUUGUGAAUGGGAUUGCCUUCCUGAUUUGACUCUUGGCUUGGCUGUUGUUGAUGUAUAGGAAAGCUAGUGAUUUUUGUACAUUGAUUUUGUAUCCUGAAACUUUGCUGAAGUUGUUUAUCAGCUGAAGGAGCUUUGGGGCUGAGACUGUAGGGUUUUCUAGACAUAGAAUCAUGUCCUCUGCAAACAGGGAGGGUUUGACUUCCUCUUUUCCUGUUUGGAUGCCCUUUAUUUCUUUCUCUUGCCUGAUUACUCUGACUAGGACUUCCAAUACCAUGUUGAAUAGGAGUGGUGAGAGGGAAGAUUUACUUUACCAAAUAUCAGCUGGAAGUUAAACUCUUGAGGUUUAACUCACCUGGAAGGUGAGGUCACGAACAAGGAGUCAAGGCAGCCCUAGGCACUCCCUACAGAGCCAGUAAUGGACACACAGCCAGGGAGCAGGGACACAGGGAGGAGACAUUAGAUGCAUUUUGAGGAUGAAAUAGCUAUUGCCUUUUUCCCAAUUCACGUUACAGGGGCAACCUGAAACAUAUCAAAGACACAGCUUCCUUGUGCACCUUGGGCAUCUCUUUUAAGAAGAAAGGAGAAGGAGGAGAAAGGGGCAUUUAUGGAGCAUCUGCUCCUUUUGGGUUCAGCAUAAAGAACUCUUCUUACACAGGCUAAUUUAAGUCCUCCCAGGAUGGAGGUAUUGUCAUCCUCAUUUUACUAAUUAGGAUUCCCCUUUAACCACAUUCAAUAGCUAUUUUAAAAUUUGAGGCAGGGAGUGGUGGCUCAUGCCUAGAAUGUCUGCACUUUGGGAGGCCAAGGUGGGAGGAUGGCUUGAAUCCAGGAGUUCAAGACCAGCUUGGGCAACAUGAUAAGACCCCAUCUCCACCACCAAAAAACAAAUAAACAAAAACCCCCCAAAAAAAGGAAGAAAGAAAGAAAAGAAAGAAAAAUAAAAAGAAAUUAACCAGGCAUGGUGGCAUGAGCCUGUAAUUCCUGCUACUCUGGAGGCUGAGUUGGGAAGAUCACUUGAGCCUGAGAGGUCAAGGUUGCAGUGAGUCAUGAUCCCGCCACUGCACUCCAGCCUGGGUGACAGAGCAAGACCCUGUCUCCAAAAAAAAAAAAAAAAAAAAAAGAGAGACUCUGAUAUAUUAUUCUUCAGUAUGUUCCUUGCCCUUUUUAACUCUAGAAUUUCUGCUUGAUUCUUUUUAAUUAUUUCAAUUUCUUUGUUAACUUUAUCUGAUAGGAUUUUGAAUUCCUUUCCUGUGUUAUUUUGAAUUUCAUUGAGUUUACUCAAAAAUUCUAAAUUCUCUUGUCUGAAAGGUCACAUAUUUCUGUCUCUUCUUGAUUGGUCACUGGUGCCUUAUUUAGCUCAAUUGGUGAAGUAAUGUUUUCUUGGAUGGUCUUGAUGCUUGUGGAGUUUGUUGGUAUCUGGGCAUUGAAGAGUUGGGUAUUUAUUGUAGUCUUCGAAAUCUAGGCUUGUUUGUACUCAUCCUUCUUCAGAAGACUUUCCAGGUAUUCAGAGGGACUUGGGCAUUGUGAUCUAAAUUUUUGGUCAUAGCAGCCAUAUCUGUAUGAGGGGGCACCCCAAGCCCAGUAAUGCUGUGGCUUUUGCAGACUUGUAGAGGUACUGCCUUGGUGUUCUUAGAUAAGAUCUGGAAAGAUUCACUGGAUUACCAGGCAGAGACUCUUGUUCUCUUCCAUUACUUUCUCCCAAACAAAUGGAGUCUCUCUCUGCUGAGCUGCCUGGAGCUGGGGGUGGGGUGACAUAUGCACCCCUAUGAUUACAACUACUGGGACUAUGCUGGUCAGGCCUGAAGCCAGCUCAGCAAUGGGUCUCAAUCAAGGCCCUCAGUAACCUCUGCCUGGCUGCCACCUAUGUUUGUGCAAGGCCCUAAGGGCUCUACCAUUAGCAGGUGGCAAAGCCAGCCAGGCUUGCGUUCUUCUCUGCAGGGCAGCACAUUCCCCCUGUUCCCAGGUGGGUCCAGAGAUGUCGCCUGGGAGCCAGGGCCUGGAGUUCUGUUACUGUGGCUGAGCUUGCACCCAAGCUACAAGAUGACAUCCUACUCUUCCCUCACCUUUCUACAAGUAGAGGAGUCUCUUCUCAUGGCCACCAUUGUCCCAGGAUGUGAGGUCUGGAACAGCUGCAGCCAUUUUGCCACCAUGGGAAACCUGGGACAUCUGAACUGACUCCAUGAAGCCUGAAGAGAAAGCUAAUAAGAAGGCAGAGAGAAGAGGAAGAGUCUUGGUCUUUGGAAAUAUCUUUUGGAGCUGCUGGAUCAAGUAUCACUUGAAGUAUUAUUGAAUUUAUUCCCCGAAGGAGAGCGGCUAAGAGUAUUGCCCAGCCACAGGCUCUCAACCACCAACCCGAGCCUCAGAUUCUCCUCACACAGCCACAGCUGUACCACAUGGCCCACGUGGUAUGGUGCUAAUUCCUCUGACAUCUAAUUUUCACUUUUUGGCAAUAUUUGGUCUCAUCAAGCUUUACACAUAAAUAUUUUCAGCAAAGUGCUCCAAAUGCCUUUUUCAGAAAUCUGAAUCCACAUGAAAACAAUGGCAACAAGAAAAAGGUGUAAACUUUCCAGAACAGGCCCAGAAUUUGAAAAUGUGAUAAAGAGGUUAUUGUGCGCCCGAACUUUUCACACAAGAAUUGGAGGAGAUUUAACACAUGGAAUAAUAAACAGAGGAAGGCGGGCUAAUGCAGAGCAGAUGGGCCUGCAGGGCAGUGCUCAGCAUUUCAACAUCUUUCCCCUGGACCUUUGGACCCAAGGUGAUUGCAUGCUGGUGUCUUUAGCUAAAAAUAAAGUUAAUGUCUUUGGGGCAAUCAUAAAUAUGGCUGCUUCAGUUUCUGGGGUGAUUGGUGGUCUAAAGUUUUCAAGAACCUACUAUGUGAAAGGCAUUUGACAUUCACUAAUUUAAUCCCAACUACUACUCCAUUUUGAAGGAAAAAAAUGAAGGCUCUGAAAGUGUAAAUCGCUUACUGAAGGGCACACGGCCAGGAUGACAGCGGAGCCAGGAUCACCCCAGGUCUGUCUCAUUGCAUAUGUCAUGGCUCUGCAAACUGGGGCAAUAGGUGAGCAGGGAGAAGAGUCAUGGCCAAAUAAAAUUGAGACAUACCGAUACACACACACACACACACACACACACACACACAUUUACACGGUAACAGCCUUAUUAAGGUACAACUAAUGUACAAUAAGGUGUACAUAUUUAAAGGAUACUAUUUGAUAAGUUUUGACAUAUGUCUGUACCUGGGAAACCAUCACUACAAUCAUGAUGGUGAGCAUAUCUAAUACUCUCAAAAGUUUCCUCUUGCCUUUUGUAAUUCCAUUCUGCCAUCCCACCUGUCCCUCCCACUCCUGAUCCCAGGCAACCACUGAUCUGCUUUCUGUCACUAUAGAUUAGUUACAUUUUCUAGAAUUUUAUAUAAAUGAAAUAAUACAAUAUGUACUAUUUUUCUGUGUUUCUUUCACUCAGCAAAAUUAUUUUGAGAUUCAUUCAUGUUAUUGCUUGUUUAUUCCUUUAUAUUGUUGAGUAGUUAUUCCAUUGUAUGAAUAUGCCACAAUUUGUUUAUCUGUUCAUCUACAUAUGGACAUCUAUAGAUGUUUGCACUUUUGGGCUAUUAAAAAUCAAGUUGAUGUGAAUGUUUGUAGACAAGUCUCUGUAUGACAUGUAUUUUCUUUUCUUUUGGAUAAAAACCUAAGAAUGAAAUGACUAAAUUAUAUUGUAGGUACAUGUCUAACUUUUAAAGAAACCAUUAAGCUGUUUUCCAAAGUGGUUGCACCAUUUUACCUUCCUACCAGUAGUGUAUGAGAGUUCCAGUUCCCCAACAUCUUCACCAGUACUUGGUAUGGUCAGUCUUUUUAAUUUUUGUCAUACUAAUAGGCCUGUAGUGGUAUUAAGUCUCUUAUGGUUUUAAUUUGUAUUUCCCUAAUAACUAAUAAUAUUGAGUAUAUUUUCAUGUUUUUGUUUGCCAUCUAUAUGUCUUUAUUAGUUAAGUGUUUAUUCAUAUCUUUUGCAUAUUUUUAUUGAGUUGCCUCUUUUUCUUUUCUUAUCAUUGAGUUUUGAGAGUUCUUUACAUAUUCUGAGUACAAGUCUUUUAAUAGAUACAUGUUUUGCAAACAUUUUCUCCAAGUCUAGGCUAGUAUUUUUAUUUUCUUAACAGUGUCUUUUGAAGAGCAG
rnacentral:lncRNA from 1 species